CAGUCGCCACGGGAAAACCAGCACCUCGAGUGAUCAGGAGGUUUAUUGGGCCUAAAGCAUCCGUAGCCGGUUGCAUAAGUUUUCGGUUAAAUCUAUGCGCUUAACGUAUAGGCCGCCGAAAAUACUGUGCAGCUAGGGAGUGGGAGAGGUACACGGUGCUCGAUAGGAAGGGGUAAAAUCCUUUGAUCUAUUGAUGACCACCUGUGGCGAAGGCGGUGUACCAGAACACGUUCGACGGUGAGGGAUGAAAGCUGGGGGAGCAAACCGGAUUAGAGACCCCCGUAGUCCCUGUCCUUAUACA
rnacentral:rRNA from 1 species